GGAAUAUUCCACAAUGGGGGAAACCCUGAUGGAGCGACGCCGCGUGAGUGAAGAAGGGCUUCGGCUCGUAAAGCUCUUUUAUCCCGGACGAAUGACCUAUUAGAUAGGUAGAGACGGUACGGGGUGAAUAAGCCACGGCUAACUACGUGCCAGCAGCCGCGGUAAUACGUAGGUGGCAAGCGUUGUCCGGAAUUAUUGGGCGUAAAGGGAGCGCAGGCGGGACUUCAAGUCCAAAUUAAAAGUUCGGGAGUAAUGCCCGUGAUGGUUUGGAAACUGAAGUUCUUGAGAGCAGGAGAGGCAAGCGGAAUUCCCGGUGUAGAGGUGAAAUGCGUAGAUAUCGGGAGGAACACCAGUGGCGAAGGCGGCUUGCUGGACUGUGUCUGACGCUGAGGCUCGAAAGCCAGGGUAGCGAACA
rnacentral:rRNA from 1 species